ACUCAGCAAAUAGAACAAAAUAAAAUCCUCUAUUUAAAAAAAUUUUUUUCCCAAAAGAGCUUCAUAGAUUUCCAAACUCAUAAACUAGCUGAUGUGGCCAUGAAGAGCUGAGACUGUUAGAAGCAGUUUUGUUUCAAAAUUUUCAGUUUCCCUUCUAUAAAAGCACUUUUGUGUAGAGUAUUAAAGAUCACUGGUACUGGGUCUCCAGAGCCCAGGGACUAAGCACUGAAAGGAAGGACUAAAGUCCAAGGAAAACAAGAGUAAAACAUUUAACUAAAAUCACCCUCCUUACCAUCCAUCCAGCUCUUGUGGCACCAUCCUGUUUCUCUACAUCAUCCUCUCUACAAUCAUCCUGCCUCCCUGCAUCCCAGCUCCUGUGGCCUCAUCCUGCUUCCCUGCAUCCCAGCUCCUGUGGCCUCAUCCUGCUUCCCUGCAUCCCAGCUCCUGUGGCCUCAUCCUGCUUCCCUGCAUCCCAGCUCCUGUGGCCUCAUCCUGCUUCCCUGCAUCCCAGCUCCUGUGGCCUCGUCCUGCUUAGCUCCUGUGGCCUCAUCCUGCUUCCAUGGCAUUUCUCUAAGAAGGAAGAUAAAAAAGAGCAAACUCCCACACUGCUGCCAGUUUCCGGUACUGCUCUGCUGCACCCCCCACCCCCACUUCCUAGUGCUGUUCUGUUUAUUGCUCUUAACAAAACAAAUUUAUAGCGAGUUCCAGGCCCUGCUGGCUUCCUUUCCUCCCCCUCCCUAUCCUGUUUUACGCAGCACUGCUCAUGUAAGAGUCUGUUUCUCAAAUGCAUGGCAUUCCUCAGGUGGAGGAUGGGCAAGAAUGAUCACUUUUUAAAACUUACUGGGUAGAAAAAUCCCAAUCCAGGAUAUGUGUGUGUGUCUGUGUGUUUUGUCUUAUUUUCUUCUCAUUUGACCCUCGCCUAUUCCAAUCUGUCCCCUUUUAUACCUGAUGUAGAAAAGGCAGAACUGAAUCCGAAAAGCAAAUUGUUGUAUAUAGUUGCGGUAACAAUCAUGAAGAGAGCUGGGCUGUCCCCUCAGUAAUUCAUUUUAAAUGAAAAAGAAAAUCGGUUGAAAAUUAAAUCCAUGCCUUGGCCAGCCGAAAAUGGCCUUCCUCCAUCGCCACAGAGGCCACCCUUCCUUGGGUCCUCUGUCUACGAGGCAUGUCUCUAUCCAGCAAAAUUCAUCUGUUCGCUGCCAUUUGCGUUUCAAUAAAGUUAUCUCCUGUACUGUUCUCUGGUUUUCUAGCCCA
rnacentral:lncRNA from 1 species